rnacentral:rRNA from 1 species
UAGGGAAUAUUAGACAAUGGGGGCAACCCUGAUCCAGCCAUGCCGCGUGAGUGAAGAAGGCCCUCGGGUUGUAAAGCUCUUUUGUCCGGAAAGAAAAGCUUCGGGUUAAUACACCGGGGUUCUGACGGUACCGGAAGAAUAAGCACCGGCUAACUACGUGACAGCAGCCGCGGUAAUACGUAGGGUGCGAGCGUUAAUCGGAAUUACUGGGCGUAAAGCGUGCGCAGGCGGUCUUGCAAGACAGUGGUGAAAUCCCCGGGCUCAACCUGGGAACUGCCAUUGUGACUGCAAGGCUUGAGUACGGCAGAGGGGUAUGGAAUUCCGAGUGUAGCAGUGAAAUGCGUAGAUAUGCGGAGGAACACCGAUGGCGAAGGCAGUCCCCUGGGCCUGUACUGACGCUCAUGCACGAAAGCGUGGGGAGCAAACA